rnacentral:rRNA from 1 species
AUUGAACGCUGGCGGCAGGCCUAACACCUGCAAGUCGAGCGGAUGAGAGGAGCUUGCUUCUCGAUUCAGCGGCGGACGGGUGAGUAAUGCCUAGGAAUCUGCCUGGUAGUGGGGGACAACGUUUCGAAGGGAACGCUAAUACCGCAUACGUCCUACGGGAGAAAGCAGGGGACCUUCGGGCCUUGCGCUAUCAGAUGAGCCUAGGUCGGAUUAGCUAGUUGGUGAGGUAAUGGCUCACCAAGGCGACGAUCCGUAACUGGUCUGAGAGGAUGAUCAGUCACACUGGAACUGAGACACGGUCCAGACUCCUACGGGAGGCAGCAGUGGGGAAUAUUGGACAAUGGGCGAAAGCCUGAUCCAGCCAUGCCGCGUGUGUGAAGAAGGUCUUCGGAUUGUAAAGCACUUUAAGUUGGGAGGAAGGGUUGUAGAUUAAUACUCUGCAAUUUUGACGUUACCGACAGAAUAAGCACCGGCUAACUCUGUGCCAGCCGCCGCAGUAAGAC